rnacentral:rRNA from 1 species
UACAGAGGGUGCGAGCGUUAAUCGGAAUUACUGGGCGUAAAGCGCACGUAGGUGGCGACGUAAGUCGGGUGUGAAAGCCCCGGGCUCAACCUGGGAAUUGCAUUCGAGACUGCAUUGCUGGAGUACGGAAGAGGAAGGCGGAAUUCCCGGUGUAGCGGUGAAAUGCGUAGAUAUCUGGAGGAGCACCGGUGGCGAAGGCGGCAUCCUGGACCAAUAUUGACGCUGAGGAGCGAAAGCUAGGGGAGCAAACGGG